rnacentral:rRNA from 1 species
AUUGAACGCUGGCGGCAUGCCUUACACAUGCAAGUCGAACGGUAACGGGCCUUCGGGUGCCGACGAGUGGCGAACGGGUGAGUAAUGCAUCGGAACGUACCUUUCAGUGGGGGAUAACGUAGCGAAAGUUACGCUAAUACCGCAUAUUCUGUGAGCAGGAAAGCAGGGGAUCGCAAGACCUUGCGCUGAUUGAGCGGCCGAUGUCAGAUUAGCUAGUUGGUGAGGUAAAGGCUCACCAAGGCGACGAUCUGUAGCGGGUCUGAGAGGAUGAUCCGCCACACUGGAACUGGGACACGGUCCAGACUCCUACGGGAGGCAGCAGUGGGGAAUUUUGGACAAUGGGGGCAACCCUGAUCCAGCCAUGCCGCGUGAGUGAAGAAGGCCUUCGGGUUGUAAAGUUCUUUCGGCCGGGAAGAAAUCGUAUGGGCUAAUACCCUGUGCGGAUGACGGUACCGGCAUAAGAAGCACCGGCUAACUACGUGCCAGCCGCCGCGGUAAUAC